GUGUCAGCAGCCGCGGUAAGACGAACCGUCCUAACGUUGUUCGGAAUCACUGGGCUUAAAGGGCGCGUAGGCGGGCGAGCAAGUCUAGGGUGAAAUCUUUCGGCUUAACCGGAAAAUAGCCUUGGAUACUGCUGGUCUCGAGGGAGGUAGGGGUCGUUGGAACUUCCGGUGGAGCGGUGAAAUGCGUUGAUAUCGGAAGGAACGCCGGUGGCGAAAGCGAACGACUGGACCUUUUCUGACGCUGAGGCGCGAAAGCCAGGGGAGCAAACGGGAUUAGAAACCCUUGUAGUCC
rnacentral:rRNA from 1 species